UUAAGGUAUGUCCUAUAUCAAAUUCUUUAUAUUAUUAGUAUGAAUUCCCAACACUACCUGUCACUCAUUUUCUUGAGUUUUUAAAAAUGAAUAUUCUUCAGAAGUGGUUUUAUGAGUGCCAAACCGAGGCAGCCAAAAUGAAUACACAUUUAACAGAUUAGGCAGACAAGUUGGUGCGAGAAAAUAACAAGCAAGGAUCAUCAUUCCAAGUAUCACCUAUCGCAACUUACUCAUUUCAUGUAUACUAUGGAUCUCGUAUUGAAGUUGUGAAUUUAGAGGAAAAGAGUUGCACUUGUCGGCAAUUUGAUCUUGACCAACUACCUUGCUCACAUGCUUGUGCUGUAUGUAGACACCGACAAAUUUCAUGUUAUCCUAUGUGUUCCCAUUAUUAUACUACAAAUUCUCUGGUCAUUGUGUAUGCAUAAGUUAUAUGGCCAACCGGUGAUGUGGAGAAGAAAAAUCAACUCGAAAGUGUUCAAAAUGUGGUUCAAAUGGCCAUUAUAAACAAACUUGUAGGAAUCCCAUUCCACUUCAUCCUACUUUGUAGAACUUUUAUUAAAUUUAGAUGUAGUGAAUAAAUAUUUUCUUUUGAUCA